rnacentral:rRNA from 1 species
AUCGGUGAAGAUGCCGAUUACCCGCAGCGGGACGAAAAGACCCCGUGAACCUUUACUAUAGCUUAGUAUUGGCUUUGGAUAAGUAAUGUGUAGGAUAGGUGGGAAACAUUGAAGCGGCGUCGCUAGGCGUUGUGGAGUUAACCUUGAAAUACCACCCUUUGCUUAUCUAGAGUCUAACUCAGAGAUGAGGACAGUGCUUGGUGGGUAGUUUGACUGGGGUGGUCGCCUCCAAAAGAGUAACGGAGGCUUCUAAAGGUACCCUCAGCACGCUUGGUAACCGUGCGUAGAGUGCAAUGGCAUAAGGGUGCUUGACUGAGAGACCUACAAGUCGAUCAGGUUGGAAACAAGAGCAUAGUGAUCCGGUGGUUCCGCAUGGAAGGGCCAUCGCUCAAAGGAUAAAAG